CAAACAUACUAUAAACCCUUAUAAUCCAUAUAAUUCAAGUUACAGUACCACGCCAAAAUAAUUUAUUUAUAAUUCCAAUGAGAAUUGAUUGUAAAUAGUCUACCAAAUAAAAAAAAAAAAUUAUACAGCACAAAAAGGCAACGGUGGCAAUGAAACAGAUUUGGGAAAUUGAUCAAAGGAAAUUUAAAGAGAUUAUAAUAGAAAAAUACGAAUGUUCGAUUGUCUGUAUACGGGACAGAAAUCUGGGAAUGGAAAGAAAGGAACAGCAUAGAAGCGAUAUAAGAUAAAUACUUGCAAUGGAUCUUAGGAUUCGAUUGGAAUACACCCAGGUAUAUAGCAAAAGAAGAAACUAAAAGAAUGAAAUUGAGAGUAGGGACAUAAAGGAGAGCGGUGAUGUUUGAGGAAAAAAUAAAAUGGGAAUCUGACAAUGAAAUCCUAAAAGAAUGUUUAAAAGAGAUGGAAAAAUGACAAGAUAAGAAGGCAAAAUGAGAAAGAGAAAGGAAAAAGUAUUAUCAGAGAAAUGGAAUAGCAACGAAAAAAGAGGAAAAGCGAGGGAGGAAUCAGCAUAGCGACGGAAACGAUGAUGAGAAAUGUAUAUAUAUAUAUAUAUAUAUGUAUGUAUGUAUAUAUAUGUAUAUAUAUAUACAUACAUUUCUCAUCAUCGUUUCCGUGUAUAUAUAUAUAUAUUCUUAUCCUUAUAUAUUAUUAUAUUAUUAUAUUAUUAUUAUAUAUUAUUAUAUACUAUAUUAUAUAUAUAAGGAUAAUGAUAAUUCAAUAAAAUACAAAAAUUGAGAUAUGACAAACGAUACAAGGAAUCCCGCGCGGUUGGAUUGUCAAGAUAUUUAACGGAAAGAGAAAGUAAAGCGGAAUAGAAGCAAAAGAUCAUAGCAAGGUUUAGAUGCGGGAAUGAGGAACUAGACAACAAAUAUUAGGAAUCGAAACAAAACGAAACAUGCAGAUUUUGUGAGAAAGAAUGUGAAACAGUGGAAUAUGUAACGAGGAGAUACAAGAAAUUAGGAAAAGCUGAAAAAGAUCUAAAGAAUACUUGAUGAAUCUGGGAAGGCAUAUACAUGGACGGAG